UACGGAGGGUGCGAGCGUUAAUCGGAAUUACUGGGCGUAAAGGGUGCGUAGGUGGUUAAUUAAGUUAUCUGUGAAAUCCCUGGGCUCAACCUGGGCAGGUCAGAUAAUACUGAUUAACUCGAGUAUAGGAGAGGGUAGUGGAAUUUCCGGUGUAGCGGUGAAAUGCGUAGAGAUCGGAAGGAACACCAGUGGCGAAGGCGGCUACCUGGCCUAAUACUGACACUGAGGCACGAAAGCGUGGGGAGCAAACAGG
rnacentral:rRNA from 1 species